UGUAGGAUUUUUCUUCUCAGUCACUUUGCAAGCCAGGGACCCUCGAUCGAUGACGCCCCGCCCGGGCCUUGCUCUGCCACGCUGCAUGCCCCAGCUCGCCUGUGUGAUAGCUUGUACCCACGUUCAGUGGUUCCUGAGCUUUUGCACCCUGCCCAAGAAGAAUGAGGAUAUGCUGGACAUUGAAGGGGGUGGCCUUGUUUGAUGUUGCUGUUUUAUGAAAUUACACUAUCCAUGUACAACAUAAGGAAAAUGUGACCCAGCUGAGAGCGCCAGGCCAGAUUCUGGCAACACCGAUGUCUGGAUGUCAGUGCCAAACCAGCUCCCUGAUGUGAGGCUCUGCUUUUUUUUUUUUCUCUCUCUCUCUGUUUUUCUGUUUCAACACAUCACACUACGUUAUAUCUUGCAUUAAAAUUGCAAUGUAUGCCUGCCUCUUUCACUAGACUGAGACCCUAGAGAGCUGCUACUUGUAUUUUUUCUCCUUUAUAUUACCUGUGACAUAUAGUCUUAUAACUUC
rnacentral:lncRNA from 1 species